CAAAAAAGUGAGAUUUUGACUGUGGGGGGAGAUGAUGAUGUUACUAAGAAAUAUGCAGAUCUUUUCAAUUGUGAUGUUGGGAGCUUCCCCAUCAAAUACUUGGGUAUGCCUGUUAGUUAUACCACUUUGAGAAACUCUGACUGGGAAUUCAUUAUAUGCAAAUAUCUGAAAUGAUUUGAAGCUUGGGUGGGCAAUGCUGUCUCCAUGGGAGGGAGACACACCCUUCUAGACUCUGUUGUCACCCAGUUAUCUUUGUAUCAUAUGUCUAUGUGGUUGAUGAACAAAACUUUCAUUGAGAAACUGGAUAAGCAUAGAAGAAGUUUCUUCUGGCAAGGUUGUAACAAAAAAAGAUAUUAUCUUGUCAAAUGGAGCAGGAUCUGUAGAUCCAAAGAGAAAGGUGGCCUGGGGAUUAAGGAUCUGCAUAAACAGAAUAUCAGUCUGAUGGUGAAAUGGUGGUGGAAACUCGAAACACAAAGUGGGGUGUGGCAAGAUAUCGUUCGUGCUCGCUACUUGCGGAAUAGGACAAUAGCGGAUGUUACCCCAAGGUUCUCUGACUCUCUGAGUUGGAAAGCCCAACUGAGAGUCAAGGAAAUUUACAUGGCUGGUAGGAAAGUUAUCGUUGAAUCUGGGAACAUUGCUAGGGUGUGGAGAGAUCCUAUCAACGGACUGAUUCCGUUCAAGGAGCAAUACCCGCAGCUCUUUGAGAUCUGUAAUGUCCCUGAGUGUAUCAUUAAACAAGUGCUGAAUGUGGAGACCGACUCCUUCUUCAGGCGCAGACUCAAUUCUUCUAUUGUUGGCCAAUGGGGGGCAGUUUUAGAUACAGUGAAUAAGCUUCCUCUUACUGACAAAGAAGAUCGAGCGGUUUGGAGUCUGAAUCAGAAUGGUAAGUUUAGUACCAAAUCUGUUUAUAAAUGGCUGGAAAAACCUCUCAACGGGUGCCAUUAUAAAUGGAUUUGGAAGGCCAAAAUCCCUUUAAAGAUCAAAAUAUUUAUGUGGCAACUCUCGCAAGACGCGGUGUUAACUCGGCAGGUGAUGCGCCAUAGGAAAUGGCCUGGGAAUCCUGUAUGUUCCUUUUGA
rnacentral:rRNA from 1 species